AUUGAACGCUGGCGGCAUGCUUUACACAUGCAAGUCGAACGGUAACAGGCCUUCGGGUGCUGACGAGUGGCGAACGGGUGAGUAAUGCAUCGGAACGUACCCAGAGGUGGGGGAUAACGCAGCGAAAGCUGUGCUAAUACCGCAUGUGAUCUGAGGAUGAAAGCGGGGGACCAGGCAGCAAUGUUUGGCCUCGCGCCUGUGGAGCGGCCGAUGUCAGAUUAGGUAGUUGGUGGGGUAAAGGCCUACCAAGCCGACGAUCUGUAGCUGGUCUGAGAGGACGACCAGCCACACUGGGACUGAGACACGGCCCAGACUCCUACGGGAGGCAGCAGUGGGGAAUUUUGGACAAUGGGCGCAAGCCUGAUCCAGCAAUGCCGCGUGCGGGAAGAAGGCCUUCGGGUUGUAAACCGCUUUUGUACGGAACGAAAAGGCUCUGGCUAAUACCUGGGGCUGAUGACGGUACCGUAAGAAUAAGCACCGGCUAACUACGUG
rnacentral:rRNA from 1 species